rnacentral:rRNA from 1 species
GAAGCAUAAAGAACGGAUUAUUUCGGUAAGAAGUACUUUAUGACUGAGUGGCGGACGGGUGAGUAACGCGUGGAUAACCUGCCUCAUACAGGGGGAUAACAGUUAGAAAUGGCUGCUAAUACCGCAUAAGCGCACAGUGCUGCAUGGCACCGUGUGAAAAGCUCCGGCGGUAUGAGAUGGAUCCGCGUUUGAUUAGCUUGUUGGCGGGGUAACGGCCCACCAAGGCAACGAUCAAUAGCCGACCUGAGAGGGUGACCGGCCACAUUGGGACUGAGACACGGCCCAAACUCCUACGGGAGGCAGCAGUGGGGAAUAUUGCACAAUGGGGGAAACCCUGAUGCAGCGACGCCGCGUGAAGGAAGAAGUAUUUCGGUAUGUAAACUUCUAUCAGCAGGGAAGAAAAUGACGGUACCUGACUAAGAAGCCCCGGCUAACUACGUGCCAGCAGCCGCGGUAAUACGUAGGGGGCAAGCGUUAUCCGGAUUUACUGGGUGUAAAGGGGGCGUAGACGGCAGUGCAAGUCUGAUGUGAAAGCCCGGGGCUCAACCCCGGGACUGCAUUGGAAACUGUGCAGCUAGAGUGUCGGAGAGGUAAGUGGAAUUCCUAGUGUAGCGGUGAAAUGCGUAGAUAUUAGGAGGAACACCAGUGGC